AUUGAACGCUGGCGGCAUGCCUUACACAUGCAAGUCGAACGGUAACGGGCCUUCGGGCGCCGACGAGUGGCGGACGGGUGAGUAAUGCAUCGGAACGUACCUUUCAGUGGGGGAUAACGUAGCGAAAGUUACGCUAAUACCGCAUAUUCUGUGAGCAGGAAAGCAGGGGAUCGCAAGACCUUGCGCUGAUUGAGCGGCCGAUGUCAGAUUAGCUAGUUGGUGAGGUAAAGGCUCACCAAGGCGACGAUCUGUAGCGGGUCUGAGAGGAUGAUCCGCCACACUGGAACGGAGACACGGUCCAGACUCCUACGGGAGGCAGCAGUGGGGAAUUUUGGACAAUGGGGGCAACCCUGAUCCAGCCAUGCCGCGUGAGUGAAGAAGGCCUUCGGGUUGUAAAGCUCUUUCGGCCGGGAAGAAAUCGUAUGGGCUAAUACCCUGUGCGGAUGACGGUACCGGCAUAAGAAGCACCGGCUAACUACGUGCCAGCCGCCGCCGUAACAC
rnacentral:rRNA from 1 species